UACAGAGGUCUCAAGCGUUGUUCGGAUUCAUUGGGCGUAAAGGGUGUGUAGGUGGCGCCGUAAGUCGGGUGUGAAAUUUCGAGGCGUUAACCUCGAAACUGCAUUCGAUACUGCGGUGCUUGAGGACUGGAGAGGAGACUGGAAUUCAUGGUGUAGCAGUGAAAUGCGGUAGAUAUCAAUGAGGAAGACCAGUGGCGAAGGCGG
rnacentral:rRNA from 1 species